rnacentral:lncRNA from 1 species
AUGGGGGCUAAAGGGGGCCGCUCUGUGGGGAUGCCCGCUUCCCGCUGCCCGUUACCCGCUGCCCGCUACCUGCUCCGCUCUGCUCGGCGGCUCUCGGCGGGAGGCAGCGGAGGAGAGAAGCGGCCGGAGAAGAAGACGGAGCCGGGCUGCCGAGAGCCGCAGCCGGUUGUUUCAUCUGCAAGGAGGGACACCAGAAAGGUUGUGAACGGAGAAGAAAUGAAAUAUUACCCUCUCUAUGGAAGGGUCAUACCGUCGCGGAUACAGCGCUGGAAUAGGAGCUGGCUGGGAAAGCAUCAUUUAUAACACAGCCAAAACACUUCUUCCCAUCCCAAAACCUGGGAAAGGAAUGAAUAGAUCGCCCCGAAAAACCCGAUUGAUGAAGGCAAAUACAUGUCAGACGGGCAAAGAGAAGAAGGAAAAUUCCCUAAAUAUCCAACGGGUCACUUACAUGAGGGAACGAUGCACAUCGCACUCACAUCUACAGUCCGAUACACCACAGAUGUGUUUGUCGAUGUGCUGGACAGCAUGUUUGAAAUGAUGUUUUAUGCAAUAGUGUUUCGAAGGGCUCGCGAGGAGGGUGGCCAGCGUGGCACAUAGAACCGUGCAGCCAGGCGUUGUGCCCAGCAGCCGAGCCGCAGCGCCGUGCUUCCAGCCGGCUGUCAGAGAGAGGACCCGCCCUAGCAAAGAGGAGACGAACCUACUUCAAGCCUGUCACCGUGUGCUUCACAGAAAGGUGCGGCGAGGGCAGGGAGGGGGAGAGAGAGCGAAGGGAACAGGGGGAAACCCCGACGAGGUGUCGGGGCGAGGGCACCCGACGGGGAGCUGCGGGAGCGGCUGCUGGCGGGCCUCGGGCCGCGCAGGUGCCGGGGUUCCGCGCCCGCGUUGCCUUCGCCGAGCUCUGCGGGGCCCCUCGUAGGACCUGGACACCCGCCGCAGGCGAGGUGGGGGCGGCGGUACCGUCCCGUCGGGUUCCCGGCCCAGGAGGAGAGGUGAGAGCGGCCGUCGGCACAUGUGCGCUGCACACACCGGCGCUGUCUCCUCUCGACAAAGUGGACCCGUGAUUAAUACCGGCGGACAGCUCCCCCCGACCCCUCUCCCCCUCCCCUUUUCUCCUCCCCUCUCGCCCACUCCUCCCGAGGUCCUCCGCUGGUUUCAAUAAAAGGCAGGAUCCGAGCUUUCUCUCGUUCGAA